UCUUCUAGCUGUCUCCCUGUAGGUAACUAACAGAAUAGUUCAGUAAUACCAUUCCCCUGCAGCCUUCCUGCUGUCUCCCUGUAGGUAACUAACUAACAGACUAACAGUGUAGUUCAGUAAUACCAUUCCCCUGCAGCCUUCUAGCUGUCUCCCUGUAGGUAACUAACUAACUAACUGUGUAGUUCAGUAAUACCAUUUCCCUGCAGUCUUCUAGCUGUCUCCCUGUAGGUAACUAACUAACUAACUGUGUAGUUCAGUAAUACCAUUUCCCUGCAGCCUUCUAGCUGUCUCCCUGUAGGUAACUAACUAGCAGACUAACAGUGUAGUUCAGUAAUACCAUUCCCCUGCAGCCUUCCAGCUGUCUCCCUGUAGGUAACUAACUAACAGACUAACAGUGUAGUUCAGUAAUACCAUUCCCCUGCAGCCUUCCAGCUGUCUCCCUGUAGGUAACUAACUAACAGACUAACAGUGUAGUUCAGUAAUACCAUUCCCCUGCAGUCUUCUAGCUGUCUCCCUGUAGGUAACUAACUAACUAACUGUGUAGUUCAGUUAUACCAUUUCCCUGCAGCCUUCUAGCUGUCUCCCUGUAGGUAACUAACUAGCAGACUAACAGUGUAGUUCAGUAAUACCAUUCCCCUGCAGCCUUCCAGCUGUCUCCCUGUAGGUAACUAACUAACAGACUAACAGUGUAGUUCAGUAAUACCAUUCCCCUGCAGCCUUCCAGCUGUCUCCCUGUAGGUAACUAACUAACAGACUAACAGUGUAGUUCAGUAAUACCAUUCCCCUGCAGCCUUCCAGCUGUCUCCCUGUAGGUAACUAACUAACAGACUAACAGUGUAGUUCAGUAAUACCAUUCCCCUGCAGCCUUCCAGCUGUCUCCCUGUAGGUAACUAACUAACAGACUAACAGUGUAGUUCAGUAAUACCAUUCCCCUGCAGCCUUCCAGCUGUCUCCCUGUAGGUAACUAACUAACAGACUAACAGUGUAGUUCAGUAAUACCAUUCCCCUGCAGCCUUCCAGCUGUCUCCCUGUAGGUAACUAACUAACAGACUAACAGUGUAGUUCAGUAAUACCAUUCCCCUGCAGCCUUCCAGCUGUCUCCCUGUAGGUAACUAACUAACAGACUAACAGUGUAGUUCAGUAAUACCAUUCCCCUGCAGCCUUCCAGCUGUCUCCCUGUAGGUAACUAACUAACAGACUAACAGUGUAGUUCAGUAAUACCAUUCCCCUGCAGCCUUCCAGCUG